UCGGGAAUAUUGCGCAAUGGAGGAAACUCUGACGCAGUGACGCCGCGUAUAGGAAGAAGGUUUUCGGAUUGUAAACUAUUGUCGUUAGGGAAGAAAUUGACAGUACCUAAGGAGGAAGCUCCGGCUAACUAUGUGCCAGCAGCCGCGGUAAUACAUAGGGAGCAAGCGUUAUCCGGAAUUAUUGGGUGUAAAGGGUGCGUAGACGGGAGAUUAAGUUAGUUGUGAAAUCCCUUGGCUUAACUGAGGAACUGCAACUAAAACUGGUUUUCUUGAGUAUUGGAGAGGAAAGUGGAAUUCCUAGUG
rnacentral:rRNA from 1 species